CACGCACACGAGCACAGUCAGACUGUUACUCUGCACUUGAGAUGCUGCCUGUGUCGAAAAGACCUGCCCCCCCCACACUGAAUUUUUCAGGCAUGCACUGCUUUCGGGGGUGGACCUCUCUGCAGCCGCUUCUGUGAGCGCUGCCCUCCCCGGCCCCGCGCAGCAGCCCCACAGGCGGCUGUCCUCCAGUGGCGGCUCAGGGCUUCCUCGGGCUCCCACGCUGGGCCCGCUGGCACGCCCCCGACGCCCAUCUGUCCCUGUGACUGUUCACGCGUGUGUGCUUGCUCUCCUCCUGUGUUCUCGUUUAGGCUUCCCUGGCGCUCAGAUGGCAGCGAAUCCGCCUGCAGUGCGGGAGGCCCAGGGAUUGGACCCAGUUCUCCUGCAUGCAGAGCCAUCGGAGAAACCCUGUACUUAAUGAUGCUCCAUCGCAUGUUUGAAAGUUGUUUAGAGAGUGUCUUUCUUUCUUUUUUUUUCUUUUUUAAAUUUUGGCUGUGCCGUGUGGCAUGCGGGAUCUUAGUUCCCCAACCAGGGAUGGAACCUGCACCCUUUACGCACUGGACCACCGCUGCGGGGGCGGGGGGUCCUGAUAAGUCUCUUUCUUUUUUAAUUGACGUAUAAUUGAUUUCCUAUCUUGUGUCAGUUUCACGUAUGCGGUACAGUGAUUCCGUUACACACGCGUCUCUACUUUUCUCAGACUUCCUUCCCACACAGCUUAUUAGUGAGUUUCGAUGAUAGUUCCCUGUGCUGUGCACUAGGUCCUCCUUGGCUGUCUAUUGUAUAUAUAUAGCAGUGCGUGUAUGUUAAUCCCAAACUUCUUCAAAGUCUCAUCACACACACACACAACGAGUCACUGUGUGGUGAUGGAUGCUAACUAGACCUUUGACUUUUGUGGUGGCCAUUUUCUGAUAUAUGCAAACGUCGAAUCAUAUGAUAUACACCUGAAACCACGAUCAUUCUAUAUUCAGUUAUCUCUGUAAACACAAUGUGCAGAGUCCACAACUUUCUCUCGGGUGGUUCUGCCAGAAAAUAAAAUAUGUGUGUGUGCCUGAAAAAGACAAAAAGAGCAGACUCUGCCACACAAGUGAGGAAGCACGCUACCUUGCGUAUUAUGUUAUAUCAUCACGUAAAACGGUAGCACCCAGCAUGGCCACUCGACCUAGGCGCCCCUCGUUCCGGAAGGUUAGGCGGUGUCACAGGGGAGCUAAAUGCUGGUAAGCACCAAACUGAGACUUCUCCUUGGUGCUGGAAGGAUUGAAAAGGGCUUGAGAGCAGGUUUUAUUACCACUCGACUCAAUUGCAGUCUAUGUCCUGCCAUGUACCACGUGAAAGCAUCCAGGCAUCUCGCCUGUGAAAAGCAGUAGGUCACGGUGCUAAUGCCUCCUACUUAAAUAUCCAGAUCCCAGGACCUCUCUGGUGGCCCAGUGGCUAAGACGUCGUGCUCCACAUGCCCCAGUGAAGAUAGAGGACCCGGUGUGCCGCAAGGAAGACCCAGCACAGCCGAAUAAACAAGUCAGCCAGCUACUCUCAUUUAGGGAGGCCGUGCUAGAAUCUGUGAGGUUUCUAAACCUCAUAGGUUCACAGAAUAAGAUGGCAGCUAAGUAACGGAGCAAAGGUGGAACUGCCCAGCAGAGCGAGGUACAUGAUCCUCUCACACUAGAUUCCUACUGAAGUUUUAUUAUUUUAUGAAGUACUGUGUGAAUGAGGUUAUUAUUAUCCUAGCAUACUAAAUGACAUCCUAGCCCCUGGUGGAAUGGGCUGGUCAGCCUUGCAGAGAGAAGGAAGUGGCCCUGUUUGACUCAGGAAGUCCCGAGGAGACUAGAUGUGGUUGGGGCGUGUCCAGAAAGAAGAAGUCUGGAACCAGAGGGACGAUCCAGUUCGCCACCCAUUUCAGUUGGGUCCAGAGCCGUCUCUGAGUGCUGUGCCCCCAAAGCAAACUUCAUUUUGGAUAAAUCGUCAGCAUCAGUAGCUUUUAGAAUCAGUUUUAGUCCCCUGAGAACUCUUAUUGCAUCAAAUGAGGAAACCAACCCCUAAACAAAGAGAAAAAUUACUUCUGAUCACUCUUCAAGUGCAAUAGAAAUACUAUGAUUACUUAUUCAAGGGUCCAAAAUAUUUCCGUUAUUUGUAAUAAAUCAGUGUAGAAAAAAGAAUUCUAUGACAUGUGUGAGGCCAGAAAUAACUGAUCUUAAUCCCAGUUUAUCUCGAUAAAACAUGGUAGAAUUUGCAAAGCAUUUUCGGAUAUUUCAUCUCUUUGAUCUUCACCACAGACCUUUGAGUGGGUUUCCCAGGUGGCGCUAGUGGUAAAGAGUCUGCCUCCAAUGGAGACCCAGGUUCGAUCCCUGUGUCGGGAAGAUCCCCUGGAGGAGGGCAUGGCAACCCACUCCAGUAUUCUUGCCUGGAGAAUCCCGUGCACAGAGGAGCCUGCGGGCUGCAGUCCAUGGGGUUGCAAAGAGUUGUACUGAGCAUGACGUGCAUAAGGGAAACCAGUGAAGAUAAUUUCGGUCAGUGAAUGCUUUACAGGGUGAUUUACUGAAGGGAAAGCUGACUUUGGACUUGUUGACCCGGCUCUGCAGACCACUGCGCUGGGGGUACUGCGCCCCAGCCAGGACUCCAGUGCAGACGGCAGACUGCUCGCUGAGCUCAGAAGGAGAGUGCAGGCUGUGCCAGCUCGCCUAGUGCACAGCUUCACGGCCAGGACUGCAGGGGCACGGCCUCCGCUCCUGCCAAGGCAGGAAGAGCAAGAGGCUGAGCGAUGAGACGGUUAGGAAAGGGCCCCCUGGCACCUGAGAUUGCACUGGCCUGGGCUUGUCCAGAAGCUGUUUCCCCCAUCAGAGUCACUUGGAGAGCACUGACCGUGCCAGCGUCAUCAGCAUUCUCGGUGGCUGGCUGGAGGGUGAGUCAGGACUCUAAGCUGGCUGCAGCGCUGGGGAGAACAGCAGCAUGCGGAAGGAAGUACAUCAUGAAAUCAGCAGUUUUCCAGGGCAGGUCGAGACGCUGAAAAGCAGGGUUUUGUGACGCAACGUGCGUCCAAAUGCCUCCUCUGAAUGAGACCAAAACGUAAAGAUGCCUGGCGUUUGCCCUGCAGCAGGCAGAGGCUGGGAUGCUCGCUGUCGUUAAAGUAUAUUCUUGGCAUAUAAUGGAGGCAAAGGAGAUGCUACAGGGCAUGGAGGGGGGGCGCGUGUAGCCAUCUCCCCAGAUUCAGUGCAGGCAGCCUGAACCAAACCCGUCUGUCCUUUCAUCAGCAUCCAAAUCCACGCUUCACAGGCUCUUUCUCAAUUCCCAGUCUUAACAUCACGUUGAGAAACAGUGAUCACCGAACUGUCCACAAAGAUGACCUGGUGUGACAAAGGAC
ensembl:lncRNA